CGGUGAUUAACCUUAAAAAUAAACGUCAGUUUGAUUUAGCCAGGAAAAGGGACCGGCCAAUUGUGUGCCAGCCGCCGCGGUUACACCAACGACUCAAGUUGAUCUCCGGCGUAAAGCGUGAUUAAAGAUGGGGUCAAACUUAAAUUAGACUGUGAAACGUUUAUUUUAAGCCUACCUCGAAAGAUACCCCAACAACCACUUGAAUUCACAACAACUAAGACACAAACUGGGAUUAGAUACCCCACUAUGCUUGUCGCAAACUAUAACUUUCGCCAGGGAACUACGAGCAAAGCUUAAAACCCAAAAGACUUGACGGUGCCCCAUAUCCUUCUAGAGGAGCCUGUCCUAUAAUCGAUGAUCCCCGUUCAACCUCACCAUUUUUAGUUCAGCCUGUAUACUUCCGUCGCCAGCUUACCGCGUGAGCGUAAGUAAGCUUAAUGCCAUCAAUACGUCAGGUCAAAGUGCAGCACAUAAAAUGGGAAGAGAUGGGCUACACUUUCUACAGUAGAAAAUACGAAAAAUCAUGUGAAAUCAGAAGGCGGAUUUAGCAGUAAGAAAGAAUAGAAUACUUCUCUUAAUUGGCCCUGGGGUGUGUACACACCGCCCGUCACCCUCUUCGCAGUAGUGCUUAACAAUAUAA
rnacentral:rRNA from 1 species